rnacentral:rRNA from 1 species
CCUGCGGAGGGAUCAUUACACAAAUAUGAAGGCGGGCUGGAACCUCUCGGGGUUACAGCCUUGCUGAAUUAUUCACCCUUGUCUUUUGCGUACUUCUUGUUUCCUUGGUGGGUUCGCCCACCACUAGGACAAACAUAAACCUUUUGUAAUUGCAAUCAGCGUCAGUAACAAAUUAAUAAUUACAACUUUCAACAACGGAUCUCUUGGUUCUGGCAUCGAUGAAGAACGCAGCGAAAUGCGAUAAGUAGUGUGAAUUGCAGAAUUCAGUGAAUCAUCGAAUCUUUGAACGCACAUUGCGCCCUUUGGUAUUCCAAAGGGCAUGCCUGUUCGAGCGUCAUUUGUACCCUCAAGCUUUGCUUGGUGUUGGGCGUCUUGUCUCUAGCUUUGCUGGAGACUCGCCUUAAAGUAAUUGGCAGCCGGCCUACUGGUUUCGGAGCGCAGCACAAGUCGCACUCUCUAUCAGCAAAGGUCUAGCAUCCAUUAAGCCUUUUUUUCAACUUUUGACCUCGGAUCAGGUAGGGAUACCCGCUGAACUUAAGCAUAUCAAAAGCCCGGAGGAA